rnacentral:lncRNA from 10 species
UUUUUUAAGAGACUGUGUCUUGCUACGGUGCCCAGUCUGAACUCCUGGGCUCAAGUGAUCCUUCCAUCUUAACCUCCCUAGUAGCUGGGAUUACAGGUGUACCACCAUGCCCAGCCUAUAAACUCUUAUUCAAAAUCUGAAAUACUCCAAAAAUCUAAAACUUUUUUUUGUUUUUUGAGAUCGAGUUUUGCUUUGUUGCCCAGGCAGAGUGCAGUGGCACAGUCACGGCUCACUGCAGCCUGGAUUUCCUGGGCUCAAGCCACCUCCACACCUCAGCCUUCCAAGUAGCAGAGACUACAUGUGCACGCCAAAAAUGUCUGACUAAUUUUUAUUUUAGUUGAGUUUUUGUGGAGAUGGGGGUUUCAGUAUAUUGCCCAAACUGAUCUCAAACUCCUGGGCUCGGGCUAUCUUUCUGCUUCUGCCUCACAAAGUUCUGGGAUUACAGGCAUUAGACAGUGUACCCAGCCCCAAAUUUGAAAUUUUUGAGCACUGACAUGACACCACAUGUGGAAAACCCUACACCCGGGUUUAGGUGGUGGAUUGUAGUCAAAAUGCAAGUGCACAACACGCAGUUUAUUCAGUAACCCCAAGAGAAAAAUAAAGUUAUCUUCAGGCUAUGUGCAGAAGAUGUGUAUGAAACAUAAAUGAAUUUCAUGUUUAGAUUUGGGUCCCAUCCCCAAAAUAGAUCAUUAUGUAUAUGCAGAUAUUCCAAAAUUUGAAAAAAUUUGAGAUCUGAAAUACUUCUAGUCCCACACAUUUCAGAUAAGGGAUACUCAACUUGUGUAUACACAAUAUAUAGACAGUCCCCAAAUUAUGGUGGUUCAGUUCACAAUUUUUUGCCUUUACAGUGGGUUUAUUGAGACAGCAAAUGCAUUUUAGACCCACAAUGAGUUGUAUUGGGAAGUAGUCCCAUCAUAAGUCUAGGAUCAUCUGUAUAUAUGUUUUAUUGUAUUAAACAGCCCAUUUUAGUAUGUUGGCUAUUUAAGCAUUUCAGUCUGUCCUGGUGAUGAUAGCAGAGUAGAUUGUAAUCAAAGAAAACUGUUUGCCAGCAGGCAGAUGCAGAUCAGAAUAAAGGUGAGGUUGGGUGCUUGUCGGAAAGACCGUCUCAGCCAGAAAUCAGAAUGAACUACAUUUUUCAGGGUCGUGUUCCACAUAUUAAGGAUAUGCAAAUUAGCUUCUCCAUCAAUUAACACAACCACAGAAGUCCAAAGAGGCAAAAUCUGGAGCAGCAGGUGAGCAAGAAGAGGCACGGCUUGGAGCAAACCAGGGGGUACCUAGAAGAUGGCUUGUGGUCAUCACAGUGAUGAGCAAGAGAUGUAAGCCAGAAAUAUUCACCAGCUGGUUAGUUUAGCCUUAAAGGCUACUGACUGUGGGCCAGGCUAGACAGAAACAAUCUGGGUUAAUCUACUCAAUUUAAAUCCAGGCAGCGGGGAAAAUGGAUACUUUCAUAUGUCUCUGUACCCAACUAUAAACUUUUGGUUCUCAUGCACCAUUUUCAUUUUGCCUUCUCACUCCAAGUACCACUGAUUUUACCAAUUACUCUCAUAAUUGACUUUGCUACUGGAAGAAACUCUUAGAAUGUUGGAAUUUCUCUAUUACACACUUUGCCUCAAAGAAUGUGUCAGUCAGGACUAAAGCAAUAGUCUCAGGGCAGACAGCCAACCUACAUCUGAUGACAACAUUGCAGUACAGUAGUCACAAUAUGCUGACUUCUGAGCAAGCCCGUGGCACUACCCUGGAAGGAUGGCCCCAGAGAAGCUGGGAUAUGCAAGCUACCCGCCUCAUAGUUCGGAGACCAUUGAGUGGAAAGUGCUUCCCCUUUGUUCUUUCUGUUUAUUCACAAGUGGGUGAAAUGGAUUUCUGAGUCUCCUAGCCUAAAGCAAGUUUUGGCUUGAUGACUUUUAUGGGCAUUUAUGUUUACUUUGUAAAAGUGUAAGAAACAAUAAGUUAUAGUAAUAUGGGGGAGUGGGAGGUUAGUAGUUGUUUAAAUCUUUUUAAAAAGAAUGCAUUUGCAAGAGAUUAAUGUUUAUGAGUGGCUAGGACAUUCAGAGAGCAUAAAGUGCUUUUAGGGUGUGUUGAGAUGGGGAGUUUUCAAAUGAGCCCAGAGUUUCUGAAUUCCUUGAAGCCAUUCUGAUAAUUUCUUUGAAAGAAAACUUGCCCCUGUAAACAUGUUUGCUGUGUGUCUGUUCCAUCGUUGCAGGGCUGGUUCUAACGCUACAUCAGGAAAUGGAAUUCUUGGGCACAGUAAUAAUAGAGAAGUGAGUCAUUGGAUUAGAAGGUCACCUAUCCAGACGAAUCAGUGGGAAAUUAGUUCUAUGGUCUGUUUGGUUUGGUAAUAAAAGGAAGUAUAUUUCUCCAAUCGAUAAAGUUCCUAGUUCUUUAAAAAUUUCUCUCAAAUCCUUGGUAGGACAUACUUAAGACUACAAACUUGUCAUUUUCUAGCUGGGGAAGAUGGUUCCUUAAAAAGGAUCCUGUUUGUCACCACCCUGUGGGCACUUUUUUGAAUUCUUCAUUUGAAGGGCCUUGGAAACCAUUUCAUCAUGCCUCACCAUAUGAAUAUAUAAUGUUUCCUAAGUACUGAAUAGUUUUCCUUCAUUCUGGGUCCAAGGGGUGGCAGUUGAAGACAGGCUGGGAACUGCUACCAAUCAUCACAGUGGCCUGGUUUCAGAAGGGCUCUAUGUUCAUCUCCCCUCGUUUUUCUUCUCUUACCUCUGUUGGGAGAUCAUCUGCAGAAAUCCUUCUGUGCCCUUCAGUAGACUUGGCAUCAAGGAAGACUGAGGUUUUCCAGCUCUCCAGUGGCAAAGACCUGGGGCUGUCACUGGGGAGGCUGCACCUGGGCUGGACCCGUUUGUACUGAUGGCACUGGGUCCUGCACUAUCUGUGCAGCCCUAAAAAUAGCUCUCAAUUAACAUUGCAUUUCAAGAAUUGGAAAAUUUCCCAGAAGUCCAUUCUUUCUUCCUUUUCUAUUUCAUUACAUUUUGCAGUAAUAAUACACAAGCCUCCAGAAAACAUGACGGGUAAUGAAAAAAUGUAAUUAAUAUAAGCAGCGUAAAGCAUGUUUUUUUUUCUCUGUUGUCCUUGCAGAAAAUUGCUGCUUUAAACCAAGCAGGAUAUGAAAAUGCAUAAACCCCCCCUAAUCUGCUGUGGUUUGUAAAUAUCUUAUGCAAAACAGUUAAGUCAACUGUCAGAUUUUUUUUUUUUAACAUUAAGCCACAUAUUCUUGUAAAAUUUGUUUCCCCUGCAGGACAAGUGGAGUGAUUUAGAUAAGUAUUUGUGAGGGGGAAGAAAUGGCAGUGAUGGUAAGGUUUUUCAACAAUAAACCUAAAAGCAGAAAGAACCUCCUUUUUGAAUUGCUGGUCUGUCCAUUGGUUUCAUCUGAAUGGCAUUGUGUGCUGCCUCUAGGUACACUCAAUUUUGGUAUAGUACUUGCGAAAAGUAAAUGUCCUUGCUACAAUUUCACACCAGUACACCUUAUCCCAUUCAUUGAAAUAAAGUGAUUAAGACGCCAAGAGGCUGUGGUAUAGUCAACAUGCUGGAGACCAUUUUGGUUGACUUAUCUGUACCACUAGUAAUUAUCUAUAGGUGUUUGACUAAGAAGCCACAAUAGAAUUUCAAAACUGAAAUACAGAGCAUUAUUCUGAAAACAUCUUCCAAGGCCAGUGCUUACGGUUUGUUCGCAUUUGUUCUUUUCUUUGUCCUUUAACAGCAACAACAACAAAAACUACAGUUAAUAUAACUUAUGGGUCAUUGUUAAUUUCUAUCUUGUCCUGAGUUCUAAAGGUUUCCUACGGCCUGGAUGUGCGUGAACUUUCAGAUUUCGCUCUCUGUGGAAACUCCUGGCCUUGUCACCACUGUGCCACUAGGCUCCCUCGUGAAGCUGGGUCAACCGAUGGAUCUUUGUGGAACUCCUCUGAUAAGCCUACAGUGGUUCAAGCACCGUACAGGCAGACUGAAGACAGAAAGAAGUGUGAGUCACAGAGUCUCUUCCAAAUUUCAGACCUGUGGCAGCUUCCCAGAGGCUGGAGUAGACCAGAAGAGAAUGACUAAGGCAUGAUGUUCUGGGAGUUACAGUCCUGGCACGUAAUUGUGAAUAUGGCACAAAAUGAGGCGGUGGGUGUCCAGACUGCACCUAACAAUGGGAGCCUGAGAGCAAAUGGCUGGAAGGUCAGGAAGGCAGGAGACUGUCAGUAGCAAGAGCAGGUGGGUGCACAUUAUGUAGCCUCGAGCACCAGGCUGGGAUGAGAGAUGGGACUCCACCCCCUGUGGAGGGGCAAAGUAGAAGCCAAGCCUGGACUCAAAUCACCAAGAUUGGGGCCCAGAAACAAAGGAAGAAAGCUGAAAGUCAGUACCCAAAACAUGGGUAAAGCAGGGACCCUGGGCUCAACCUAGCAGGCAGGAACUCAGAGGGGCUGACGUCCAGGGCAGACCAGCAGCAGACCAUGUUGGGUCAUGGCCUAGGGGUUAGAGUGGCUUAAUAUGUUUUGCUGAAAGGACAGAUGGAUUUCUGUGCCAGGUUUUAAAGAGGAAGCCAGGUGUGGAGUCUGGGAGCCACGCUGGAUCUGACACUCAGGCAGUUUGUCAUCUAAUUGGAAGAACCAAAGUAUGAAUACAUAACAAAUGAGUCACCUGAGCUGUUGUUAACUGAACAUGGGGCAAUAUUUCAAGAGUACCUGAAAGCCCUAUAUUAUGCAUUGUCUGGCUUGGGCCAAGGAGGGCAUGUGACUCUAGGAUACAAAAGAGUCCUCUGCGUUGGAGUGGUUUCUGAAGGUUUCAUGGAAGGGCAAAGGGUUAAGCUGACCCUUGAAGAGUGGAUGAAUGGAUAACUGAAUUAAUUCAGUCACUCAUUCACUCAAAAAAAUACUUAGAAAUCCCUGCAGUGAGAUAGGUGCCAAGAAUAAAGAGGUGAACAAUAGGGACACUGACGUUGGCUGCAUAGAAAUUGCAGGCUCAUGUAGGUUUGAGAGAAGCAAACAAGCAAGCAGGGAAGAUGCAAUUUCAGCCGGGACUGGAGGAAGUACAUAAGGCCGGUGAGGCACACCUAGAGCCAGCUUCUAAGGAAGUGUUCUUUCUGCUAACCUGGGCUGCUGCCAGGCCCAGCACUAAUUGUGCAUACUUUCUACCUGCUUUAAGGCUUGAUCCUAAAGAAAACUAAAAAUGUUAUU